rnacentral:misc_RNA from 1 species
CUUUUCCAUUUUCACCAGAUAGCAUUAUAGCAAAUUACUUGCAUUUUGAUUCUACCAUCAUAUUUAAAGCUAAACCAUGUAUGAUGCACUAUCUUCCUCCAGACCAAUUUAACCCAACAAGACUUCUGAUGUAUUCGUUGGUUGAGAAUCAUGAUAUUGCAUAAAUUCCCUUUAUAAGCAAUUGCCAUGCAAUUUAACUCAUAUUAUACUCCAAAGAUAUCGGCAGUGUGAUCUACAGAGUUCAAACCUUGACAUCAGAAUAUAGUUUAUCAUGUACAUGUUUUUGAUAAGGAGAAAGAUUGCUUAUGCUUUUACAAAGCAUAGCAGCUCAUGCAUGUUAUAAACAAUAGAGCUUAUUUAAAAAAGAAAAAAAGGGAGCAGAUAAUAUAUGCUUGUCCUUCAAUUAAGGGGGAAAAAAGUAGUAACAAAAAAAAGACAAUCAGGAAAAAAAUACUAGACACCUACACAAAUAUGUUCACAUGAUUUUGAAGCUUCUUGUCAUUUUACCAAAAUAAAUAGCACAAUGAAAUCCUGUGACUUUCCCAAUUGCCCAGAGCUGACUUACAAUGACUUUCAUAUGAUCACACAAUCAGAUAUUCACAUAUUCAAAUUCCAGUAAGGGUAGAGAAAAUAAAACUCCGGAAAACAUUGCUCAACAAGCAUAAUUAUAGAAAGAUAUGAAAAAGUCCAUAGAGAAAU